GAUGAACGCUAGCGGCAGGCCUAAUACGUGCAAGUCGAACGGUGGUAGCGAUACCAUAGUGGCGCACGGGUGCGUAACACGUAUGCAACCUACCUUAUACUUAGGGAUAGCCUCUGGAAACGGAGAUUAAUACCUAAUAGUACAUUGACUUGGCAUCGGGUUAAUGUUAAAGAUUUAUUGGUAUAAGAUGGGCAUGCGUCCAAUUAGUUAGUUGGUGAGGUAACGGCUCACCAAGACGAUGAUUGGUAGGGGAACUGAGAGGUUAAUCCCCCACACUGGCACUGAGAUACGGGCCAGACUCCUACGGGAGGCAGCAGUAGGGAAUAUUGGGCAAUGGAGGCAACUCUGACCCAGCCAUGCCGCGUGCAGGAUGAAGGCGUUAUGCGUUGUAAACUGCUUUUAUAUAGGAAGAAACAGACCUUGCGAGGUAGAUUGACGGUACUAUAUGAAUAAGCACCGGCUAACUCCGUGCCAGCCGCCGCCGUAAUAC
rnacentral:rRNA from 1 species